rnacentral:ncRNA from 1 species
UCAGUCGGUCCUAAGCGAUAGGCGAGCGCCGUUCCGAAAGGGCGGGCGAUGGCCUCCGUCGCCCUCAGCCGAUCGAAAGGGAGUCGGGUUCAGAUCCCCGAAUCCGGAGUGGCGGAGACGGGCGCCGCGAGGCGCCCAGUGCGGUGACGCAACCGAUCCCGGAGAAGCCGGCGGGAGCCCCGGGGAGAGUUCUCUUUUCUUUGUGAAGGGCCGGGCGCCCUGGAAUGGGUUCGCCCCGAGAGAG